GAGGAAAAGAAACUAACCAGGAUUCCCCCAGUAACGGCGAGUGAAGCGGGAAGAGCUCACAUUUAAAAUCUGGCACUCGUGCCCGAAUUGUAGUCUAAAGAGGUGGGGCCCAGCAGACGAGGUGCUUCGAAGUCUCUUGGAAAAGAGCAUCAAGGAGGGUGACAAUCCCGUUGAACACCGCAAUCGUCUUGCGUGCGGUCCGCUUUCUAUGAGUCGAGUUGCUUGGGAUUGCAGCUCAAAGUGGGUGGUAAAUUCCAUCUAAAGCUAAAUACGCGUGGGAGACCGAUAGCGAACAAGUACCGUGAGGGAAAGAUGCAAAGAACUUUGAAAAGAGAGUGAAAGAGUGCCUGAAAUUGCUGAAAGGGAAGCGAAGGAUAAUCAGUGUCUGGCGGUUCCGCUUCUCCUGCGUUCCUCGGAACGCUGGAUCGCGUUUCCGUCGUGGUCAGUGCCGGCUAGCGUCGCGGGAGCCUGCGUCACGGGAGGUACGUCUCCUCGGAGAUGGAAUGCCGUGGCGUGUCGUCGCGAGGGUGGCCGGCCCUGACGAAAUGGUUUUCUUCACCCCGUCUUGAAACAC
rnacentral:rRNA from 1 species